AUGCCAUGGUGAGGGCAUUUUCUUAACAGCUUUUUGAACCUCUCCUAUGCAUUAAGAAGAGCUUCAUCGUCCAAUUGUUUAAAAGAACAUAUUUCAUUUAUGGACUU